UCCUCAAACUCAGUAAAGGCGGUUUUCUUAUGGUUUUCUAUGGGUUGCAAAGCAAGAAUCAUAUCCAGAGACACAGGAGUGAUUUGCUGUUUCUUUUUCCAGGUCAUCUUAUAAAUGAGGAAACUGAGGUAAACAAGGUCCAGCACUCCAUCCACUGCAAUACCUAGCUGCCCAAGGAGAAUCUCCCUGAUAAGGAUAACUUUAAAAAUCUGUGCUACAUUUUUCCUAACAGAUUCCCUUUUCCUGAAGAGGAGUGGAGGCUGCUUCUGGACAGAAAUGGCUGUUCCAUUUGCCCAGGACCCCAGUUCUACAAGAGAGAAUGUGAAAAGAGGAAGGAAAAAGGAAGAUGUGGAGAGGAAUGAUAAAUCCAAGCUGUUAAAUUGAGAAGUAGCUCAGGUUCAAGUCCCAGCUCAAAAGCAACUACCUCCAAGAAGAGACAGAAUUAUAUUGCAUUUAUACUGAAGAGCUUGACCACUUAGAAAUGGAUACUUUGCCUGGAUAUAAUCCUGCCUGGCUAAAUCCCCAAGGAUAAAGGUGACUAAGAUUUGCUGCAAGUGGAGCCGGUGACUGAAGCUUUAUAAUGAUUUUCCAGGACAUGACUGUCAAUAGCUUUACCUAAAUAGACAUUUUAGUAAGCACACUGAAAACAUUUGUAGCUUUUUAUUGUGAAGGUUCUGGUCACAAAACAGUGCAUACAACUCAAGUGGCAGCCAGCUUAUCCUCCACCUGCAAGAAAGUACAAAAAUGUGAGGUCAUCAAAGUGAAUACAGGAUUUGUUAUUUCCACACCUGAUAGGACACAUUGCUAAUAUUUUAUUUCACAAGGGAAUUCUGAUUUGAAACCUUGGGUACUUAUUGUGCACAUUUAAUUGUCAUU
rnacentral:lncRNA from 1 species